rnacentral:rRNA from 1 species
UACAUGGGGUGCAAACGUUGCUCGGAAUCAUUGGGCGUAAAGCGCGCGUAGGCGGUUACUUAAGUCGGAUGUGAAAGCCCUCGGCUUAACCGAGGAAGUGCAUCCGAAACUGAGUAGCUAGAGUACUAAAGAGGGUCGCGGAAUUCCCGGUGUAGAGGUGAAAUUCGUAGAUAUCGGGAGGAACACCGGUGGCGAAGGCGGCGACCUGGGUAGAUACGUGACGCUGAGGCGCGAAAGCGUGGGGAGCAAACAGGG